GAUGAACGCUGGCGGCGUGCCUAAUACAUGCAAGUCGAGCGAACAGACGAGGAGCUUGCUCCUCUGACGUUAGCGGCGGACGGGUGAGUAACACGUGGAUAACCUACCUAUAAGACUGGGAUAACUUCGGGAAACCGGAGCUAAUACCGGAUAAUAUAUUGAACCGCAUGGUUCAAUAGUGAAAGACGGUUUUGCUGUCACUUAUAGAUGGAUCCGCGCCGCAUUAGCUAGUUGGUAAGGUAACGGCUUACCAAGGCAACGAUGCGUAGCCGACGUGAGAGGGUGAUCGGCCAAAAGGGAACUGAGACACGGUCCAGACGACUACGGGAGGCAGCAGUAGGGAAUCUUCCGCAAUGGGCGAAAGCAUGACGGAGCAACGCCGCGUGAGUGAUGAAGGUAUUCGGAUCGUAAAACUCUGUUAUUAGGGAAGAACAAAUGUGUAAGUAAAUAUGCACGUAUUGACGGUACCUAAUCAGAAAGCCACGGCUAACUACGUG
rnacentral:rRNA from 1 species